rnacentral:misc_RNA from 1 species
GUGGCCAUGGCGGACACCUGAUGUCAUAAAAGAGUUUACUCGGAGUAGAUUCGGACUAAAUUGAGGGAAUUUAAAUCAGCAAUAUGUCUUUAUAUAUUUCAAAUAUAUUAUUUUAGUUUAAACUACUGAACAUUAUAGUAAGCCUUAGAGAUUUCGAAAGAAAAAUUAUUGGCAUUUAAGCAUAUAUUUUUUUUUUAAAUCAAUAAUUAAAUCCGAUGAUGAGGAAAUGUUAAGAAUCUGGAUUAAUUGAUUGGAAAUAUUUCUAAUUUUCCAGAUCAGAAUUUAACGAGGGAACGUUUUAAUUUAUUUUUUCUUAAUACUAUUUCGACAGGGACUAAUUAGAAGCGUGCAAUUAAGCGAGUGUCCCAGAUCCACUUCCUGUUAUUGAAUUCUCUGAGAAGCCUCACUCACAAUUUCACUUCGCGAUAUUCGCUAGAUUUAGGUGUUGGUAAAUAGACAAGAAAAUCUCUCCAGGAUUAUAUAUCCUAACUAUAACGAUAGCAAAGGAAAUAAGACAAGAAAUUACAUUAAAAUUUGUAAAUUAAAGCCUAAAUGCGGAUCGGAUUUUCACCUAUAAUGAACUGAAAGAAGCUUUCAGCCUCGUCAAACAGGUGUAAAAGAGAUUCUGCACCUCCCACUUAACAUUCAGCGCAGCGAGGUGUGUUGUUUGUUUUCGCUAUGUUCUCUCUUGGUUUGCUCUGAGUGUAUAUGUUUACAUAUAGGAGAUAUUAACUCAGGACAUGGAAGAAGAAUCGAUCUCGACAGCAAAUGCAGAUUCUACUUUGACUACAGUUUCUGUAAUCGAAGCAGAGACUUCGGAGAAGAGCAAUUUAACGACGACCACCACCACGAUGAUGAUUAACGAUUCUUUACAACAACAGAACGAUUCGGAAUUAACAAAUAUUAAGGAAGUGUUGCAAGUGAGGCCCGAUGAGCCGAGCGAUGCGACGGACAACACUUCCAUCCCACCAAACAACAACAAUACAAUAUUGAACAACAACAACAUCGAUGAGAUCCAUCAAAACAACAACCCAGAUAUCAGAAGUUCUUGCAAGAAAUCGGUCCGCAAUUCGGAGUAUCGAAAUGGAAAACGCAGUGUUACCUUUCCAGAUGAUCAAAGCCUUGUAAUAGGAUUUUUAGAACCUUACAACCCCUGGAAGAAUGCACCAAUUUGUACUGCGGAAGAACUUGUUGAUGCUUACAAAAAGGGAUGUAAAGUCUAUGAUGUGAAACCAUGGAAUAAAAUUAUUCAACAACUUUUGAAUGUAAAAAAUUGCUGGAAUAGGCAUAAAUCUUUCGUUCUUCAAGGUGAACAGUUGGAUCAUAAACAUUGUGAAGCUCUGGAAGAAGUCUUUCGAAGAGUUCAGUUUGAAAGUAUUGUUCUUAAAAUUUGUGAUUUGGACGAUGGGACUGCUGAAGCUCUUUUUGAUAUGAUUGAGUACUAUGAUUCCACAAUGAAACUGAAUAUGUCUUUUAAUAAAGAUAUUGGAAUUAGAGGAUGGCAAGCCUGCUCAAAUAUGAUCCGAAAGACUCCCAGUCUUCAUUAUCUGGAUGCUCGAGGUUGUCAACUAAAUGAUUGUAUUAUAACCAUAUUUGGUCGAUCUCUGAAAUUGGGUUCCAAUUUAACUGUCCUUCAUCUUGAAAAUACUUCUAUAACAGAAAACUGUUUGCUUGUUCUUGUUGAAGCAUUAAAAAGGAAUGAAGUAUUACAGGAGCUAUUUCUUGGGGACAAUAAACUGGGUCCUAAAAAUGGCAAUGAUAUUGGAAAUUUACUUAAAUUCAACAGUAAAUUACAGCUCCUUGAUCUCAGAAAUAAUCAGCUUCAGGAUACUGGUUUAAAUAAAAUAUGCCAAGGACUUUGUCAAAAACUUAACCCUAAUGGAAUAAAUACAUUAGUAUUGUGGAACAAUCAAAUAUCACAUCUAGGAAUGCCAUACCUUGCAGAAGCGCUGGCAAAAUCAGAAUGUCUUGAAACACUGAACUUGGGUAACAAUAACAUCACAAAUGAAGGAAUUCAUUAUUUAAAAGAUGGAUUAUUAAAGAGCAAAUCUCUUAUCCGACUUGGUUUGCAAAAUACAAAGAUUUUAUGCGAAGGUGCUGUUGCUCUGGCUGAAUAUAUUGCUGACAGUUCACGCAUAUUGCAUAUUGAUCUUUGUAAAAACAACAUUCGAACAGCUGGUUUGAUGGCCCUGUCUCUUGCAUUAAAAGUCAAUCAAUCAUUAGUGAGACUUGAACUUGACAAAACUACCAAAAAGGAAGUGGCUGUGAAAGAUUAUGCUAACCAGCAACAACGUCUUCUAUCAGAUAUCAGCAAUUACUUGGAACGUAAUCAUGAGGUAGCUGUUAAAAAAGAAAAUGAACAACAAAAGAAGGCAGAAGAAUUGGUAAAGAAGCAAGAAGCAGAAAAGCUGGCUGUACAACAGAAACGGGAGCUGGAGAAUUUAGAAUCGGCUUACUUCCCAACAUGCAACAGAAUACGAAGACCUACAUUGUUGUUUGCAACAGAGCCUUCUCCUCAGAAAACUUUAGAUUCCCCUGCUUUUAUUUCAGAUGCAGAAUUCAGCAAUCAAAUUAAUUCCCCAUUAGUUUCUACUGUAUCUCCAAUGUCCUUUAAAACUAUUUCAUCUCCACCUGGAGAUUUCCUUUUAAGUCCUCAAUAUUGUGAAAAUACAAAAGCAAAAAAAAUAUUUACUGUUACAAAAGUUGGUGAUGUGUCACCAUCAUUUCAGCAUUCAUCUCCUACUAGCUUACCAACAUCUCCAACCACUUUGGGAAUAUCUUCUCCCACUUCAGUUGAUCAAGUCUUGUUAAAUUUUGACCCAAACCAUUCCUCAAGACAAGUGUACACUAAUAAGUUCACUGAAGCAUCUGAAAUUUGUAAAGAAAUUGCUGCUGAAACUAUUAGUGGCCUUUUUGGGAUAACAGUAAAAGAUGCAAACAAUAAAAAUGAGAGCACCAAUGGCAAAAACAAAAGUUUUCAAAUAUUAAGUCCAUCUGAAAAAUUAUUAUCACCAAAUGUAAAAACUGCAGAGAAUUCCUUGUGUGAAAAUAGAACUGAAACCUGUACUGAUUUAACACAAAUUAGUAAUAAUAAUAAUGAUUCAAAUACCAAUGUCUCAAAUAUUAAUAACAAAAAAGACUAUCUAGGUAAUGAUAACAAUGACAAUAGUGACACAAAUACUUGGCAAAACAAAACAGAUGCAAACGAAACAGUUGAUCCUUCUGAGUGUGCUGCGACCAAUGACACGUUAUCAGUUAUUAACAACUGUGAUAGCAGGAAUUCUUCUUCAAACGAUGAGGAUGAUAAAACUCCAGAAAUCAGGGUUCAGUCACCUCUUGACCUAAGUGAUGUAAGUCAUGACAUAUCAACCAUUCUCGACAGUUUGGAACUAAAUAGUAACACAAAAUCAAAUCAAUCAAACCAGCACUUUAAAACAGAUGUGAUUUCAACUCCUGAAGAAUACGAAAAAGAAUUGGAUGAUAUGUUGGCUCAAGUUCAAAAAGAUCAUAAUAUCAUAUCUCAGUAAUAAUGGCAUUUUAUCUCAUUCUGAUGUGUGCUAAUCAAACUUUAGAGUACAGAUGUGGUCUGGGAAGGCUUUCAAAAAUCACAAUUUUCGGAAUCGUUAAUCCUGGCUUCAUUUAAAAUAACAUUCUAAAAAGAAUGACCCACAAACUUUUCAAAUUAAUUCUUUCUCACUUUGAUUCCUUAAUUGCCACCCUUCUGUUAGUCAGAUAUUGUUAAUAGUUUUACAAGAGCACAAUUACUUUUAUUUUAAUGCUCCCCUACAAAGUUUAAUUUAUUUUUCCCCCCAUGCCAUUUUCGAAAAUAUCUACUAUUUCCAAUGUAUGUUACUUUAAUCCUUCUUAAAAAAAACACUUCCGUAGUCUGUUACAUCUCUUUUCAUCAAAAUUAGUUGUGGAUAUUUGAUGGCUUAAAGAU